rnacentral:misc_RNA from 1 species
GCUGCACGGUCUUGGUGACAAGGGAUCAAGGUAUUGAUGUUAGCUUAGUUUUUUUCUGGCUUUAAUUUUUUGUAUUGUGAAAUCUUUUCUGCCUGGUUUCCAUUUGAAGCUUGGCAAAGAGUCAUGUAUUUUAAGCUGGUUUGUUAAAGCACAGUGGUAGAUGAUUAUAGCGCCUUCUGUUAUUUAUGGUUUUUGUGGAUGUAAAUGAGUUGAAAAUGAUCGAAAUUGAGAAUUUGUGAUAUUAACAUUCUUCUGUUUUAAUCUACUUGUUCCUAUUUUGCAAGAAGCAUUUGCUGAAAUUCUACAUUUUGCAAGAUUUUUUUUAAAAUCUUGAGUAUCUGCCUUAAUUAAGGAUGAUAGACUUGUUUAGACUAAAGAAAAGGAGUAUACAAAGUCAAUGUCUUGUCCUCUUCUGGUGGAGAAAUUUGUGUUAAAUUAACUUCUUGAACUAUGUUUUUUUUUCUAGAAGAUUCUUAUCAUGUUGAUUGGAUGGAAGAGAGCAACAUACUAUGAGUGGUAUAAAAUGUGAUUACUUGUCGUUUUCUCUCAUCCUCUUUAUUGAUCUGAGCUAUUUUGUAGCAGCCUGGAAUCCAAAUCUGGAUAUGCCAAGGUGGAGAAUAGGGGACCACUCUUUCACUAGCUUGAUUGGCCUUUCAAUUUGCAGAGAAAGUUAUAUUAUUUCCAAGUGAUAUAAUAUUUAAGCUUAAGUAUUUAAUUUUCUGUUUCUUGGAAUACAGUUAAGGCAAACUAAGAUGGCACAUUUAGGAUUUUAUAUUUUAUUAUCUGUGACAUUGCUGCUAAGAACUGGUGCUUAACUUUGAGUGUGGUCCCCAGAGUUAGAAGGAAUUUCUGAAGUUAUAACAUAGUUUCUUGAAAUGUUUUGAACCCUUUACCGACUGAUUUGUUGUUUAAGCGGUUUCAAGGGUAAAUUUUAUAGUGACUGAUAUAUUUCCCCAUUUUUGCUUUGUGAUGCAGCUGGUCCCAGCUCCUGGAAACCCUUCCUCUUCCAAAUAUUAAA